rnacentral:rRNA from 1 species
GACGAACCGUGCGAACGUUGUUCGGAUUCACUGGGCUUAAAGGGCGCGUAGGCGGGGGUUCAAGUCGGUGGUGAAAUCUUUCGGCCCAACCGGAAGACCGCCUCCGAUACUGGACCCCUCGAGGGGGGUAGGGGCAUGCGGAACUUCGGGUGGAGCGGUGAAAUGCGUAGAUAUCCGAAGGAACGCCGGUGGCGAAAGCGGCGUGCUGGACCCUCUCUGACGCUGAGGCGCGAAAGCCAGGGGAGCGAACGGG